rnacentral:rRNA from 1 species
GGAUAACUUACCCUUAGGACUGGGAUAACUCUGGGAAACUGGGGAUAAUACUGGAUAUUGGGCUAUGCCUGGAAUGGUUUGCCUUUGAAAUGUUUUUUCGCCUAAGGAUAGGUCUGCGGCUGAUUAGGUCGUUGGUGGGGUAAUGGCCCACCAAGCCGAUGAUCGGUACGGGUUGUGAGAGCAAGGGCCCGGAGAUGGAACCUGAGGCAAGGUUCCAGACCCUACGGGGUGCAGCAGGCGCGAAACCUCCGCAAUGUACGAAAGUGCGACGGGGGGAUCCCAAGUGUUAUGCUUUUUUGUAUGACUUUUCAUUAGUGUAAAAAGCUUUUAGAAUAAGAGCUGGGCAAGACCGGUGCCAGCCGCCGCGGUAACACCGGCAGCUCGAGUGGUAGCUGUUUUUAUUGGGCCUAAAGCGUUCGUAGCCGGUUUGAUAAGUCUUUGGUGAAAGCUUGUAGCUUAACUAUAAGAAUUGCUGGAGAUACUAUUAGACUUGAAGUCGGGAGAGGUUAGAGGUACUACCGGGGUAGGGGUGAAAUCCUAUAAU